GUUGUGGCUCAGCGGUAGAGCACUCGCCUAGAGUGUGUGCGAGGCCCUGGGUUCGAUCUUCAGCACACA
rnacentral:tRNA from 1 species